CAAAAAUAAUGUAGGAAAACGAAGGGAAAAAAAAACGGCAAAUGAAAAUAAUCACAUUUAAAGCAACAAAUCUGAAAAAAAAAACCUAAAACAAAAACCCACAAAAAAAACCAAAAGACACACAAAAAAGAAAAAAAGAAAUUCCAACAACACAGAGCGCCCCACAGAAAAAAAAAACAAAAAAAGACAAAUGAAAAAAACACACACAAAACAGAAAUUAAAAUAGAGAAUAAAAACAAACAAAAAACAGAAAAAGAGAAAAUCAAAACCAAAAGAAAAUAAAACCCUCCAUAAGUACACAAAAUGCACACAUAUUACAAGGAACAGAAAGUGGAUCCGAUGUCAUGGCAAAGCAAAGAUGACAAGUGACUGUGGUGCAGGCCAAAAGCUUACCAUCCGUGCCUGGCAGGAGGAAAGGGCAGCCGCCAGGGACGGAUCAGCCAGCCAGCUGAGGAAAAGCCUCAAGGCCAUGGCAAGGAAAGAGGCAAGGGCACCCAGGAGGCGAGAAGCCAUCUGAGCCAUUGAGAAGGAAACAACAAGAGAAGGCAAGGGAAGCAAAGAUAAUUCAUUCAAAAAAAAUUCCAUAAAAAACUAAAAAGACACAAACAAACAAACAAACCCCCACAAAAACAAAAAAUAUGGAAAACCAAAUAAAGAAAAAGCAAAGCAAAACAACAAAUGGAAUGCAAAGAAAAAGCAAAAAGAAAAAGAAAAGGAAAAAUAAAAAUGAAGGAUCAGGAGGGCUAAUAGCAGGUAAGUAAAGGCGAGGUAAGGGGAAGGUGACGAGCAUGGGGACAAGGAAGGAGAGAAGGAAGGGAAGGAAGAGAAAAAUGUAAAGGAUGAAAAAGGGAAUCACAAAGGAAUGCAAAGAGAACUAGCUUGAAAAGGGCAGGAAUGGAAAAGAACCAACAAAAGGAAAAGAAACAGUAGAAGGAAAAAUGAAAGGAGCAGUAAAGAAAAGCAAAAUGGAAAGGGGAAAAAAAAAAGCAAAACUAAAAGGCAUAGCAAAGCAAUGAAAUACCAAGGAAAAGAAAAAACAGAAUGCCGUAUCCUGGCAAAGCAAAGGACUCAAAGAAAUUCAACAAGAAAAAACCUGCCAUCCAAAAUUGUUCAAAGAAAAAAAAAAUGACAAAAAGGAUACAAGCAAAGCCACGGAAAGAAAAGCAAACUAGCAAAGAAGAAAGGAAACCAAAGCAAAGCGAGAAAACCAUGAAGCCAUGCAAAAUGCAAAGCAAAGGUAUGAAAGGAAAACCAAAGAGCAAAGCAAAGCACCAGACAAACAAUAAAAAGAAAAGCAAGAAAAGAAACUGAAAAGGAAAGGAAACUAAAGAUAAGUAAUUUGAUAAGAAGAGAAAGGGGAAGGAAAAAAAGGAAUGCAAAGAAAUGAACUGGAAGGAAGAAAACCACAUUAAGGAAAUAAACAAUGGAAAGCGAAGCAAAGCGAGCAGUACAGAAAUCUGAAUUAGAAUUAAAAGGCAGAGCAAAGCAAAGCAAGUAAGGGCAAGGCUAGAGGAAGGAGACAGGCAAGGGGACAAGGAUACGGGCAAGGAAAAGAAGGCAAAGAAGAAUGCAAUUACAAAACAAAUAGGAAACUGAAAGGAGACCACAGAAAACCCAUUUGAAAAGAGAAGAAAAUAGAGAGAUAGUUUUACAACGAACAACAAUAAGAGAAAGCCAGCUGAUGGGAAAAGCAAAAGCCAGCUGAAAGCACAGCAGGAACGCACAGAGAACAGCAGAGUUACACUGUCAGAAAGAGAAAUGGAAGCAAAAAUCAACAAAGGACAUCCAAAUUAAAAGCCAACUGAAAAAGAGGAAACACGAAAGCAACGGGAAGAAGAGAGAAGCAGCAGAGUAGGAAAUCAAGCAAAGCAAAGAAAGCCAGAAAGCAACGCAGAGCAAUGUGAAGCAGAGGUGAAAAGGAAGAACAAAAGAGCAGAGCAAAGCAAAGCAAGGGCAAAUAGAAAUAGAAUUGUGGCAGCUCGACCCACCUGGUGCUUCAUUUGUUGC
ensembl:lncRNA